GGAAAACCAACAUGCGGGAAGCCAAAGAUAACCGGGCAAACUUAAAAUUAAAAUAAAAAAAAAAGUAAGGGCAAAGAGGAACUUUUAGUAUUCUUAAGAACAGUAAAAGUUGGCCUUCUUUUAGUAUAGCAUAAUAAUAAAAACACAUAAAAUUUUAGUUCUUACAAAUAAGUUGAUACUAACAAGAAUAUCAAAAUAAACUAUUUUCAUAAAAUGGUUUGAC
rnacentral:misc_RNA from 1 species